rnacentral:rRNA from 1 species
CAGUCGCCGCGGUAAUACAGAGGGUGCGAGCGUUAAUCGGAUUUACUGGGCGUAAAGCGUGCGUAGGCGGCUUCUUAAGUCGGAUGUGAAAUCCCUGAGCUUAACUUAGGAAUUGCAUUCGAUACUGGGAAGCUAGAGUAUGGGAGAGGAUGGUAGAAUUCCAGGUGUAGCGGUGAAAUGCGUAGAGAUCUGGAGGAAUACCGAUGGCGAAGGCAGCCAUCUGGCCUAAUACUGACGCUGAGGUACGAAAGCAUGGGGAGCAAACAGGAUUAGAGACCCCUGUAGUCCCUGUCUCUUAUAC